AGGACGAGCAACGAAGCAAGUGACGACCCUACGACGGUCCAUGAUCCACGGCGACUCGCGACGGCGAAUACUUGAAACCAGAAGACGACGGGCGACGACGAUCCGACGAGUGCUUCUGUCGCCGGAGAGGAGGAGCCCAGGGAAGGCCGUGAGACGUUGAAACACCGGCGAUGAGCUCGAUUGCGAGACAAGAGAGGAGAGAGGGAGAGAUCUUGCGUCCGACGCGCAGUGAGAAAGAUUGAUAGAGAUCGAGCAGAGAGAGACAGAGAGAGAGGAUAGCAAGAGCAGAGAAGAAGAUUUCAGAAAUCUUC
rnacentral:lncRNA from 1 species